UACGGGGGGGGCAAGCGUUGUUCGGAAUUAUUGGGCGUAAAGAGCUCGUAGGCGGUUUGUCGCGUCUGCUGUGAAAACCUAAGGCUCAACCUUGGGCUUGCAGUGGGUACGGGCAGACUAGAGUGCGGUAGGGGUGACUGGAAUUCCUGGUGUAGCGGUGGAAUGCGCAGAUAUCAGGAGGAACACCGAUGGCGAAGGCAGGUCACUGGGCCGCAACUGACGCUGAGGAGCGAAAGCAUGGGGAGCGAACAGG
rnacentral:rRNA from 1 species